rnacentral:rRNA from 1 species
GAACCGGUUGACGUUGAAAAGUCUUCGGAUGACCUGUGGGUAGGGGUGAAAGGCCAAUCAAACUCGGAGAUAGCUGGUUCUCCGCGAAAUCUAUUUAGGUAGAGCGUCGACCGAAUACCCUGGGGGGUAGAGCACUGGAUGGGCUAGGGGUCCUCACCGGAUUACCAAACCUAACCAAACUCCGAAUACCCAGGAGUACUAGUCGGCAGACACACGGCGGGUGCUAACGUCCGUCGUGAAAAGGGAAACAACCCUGACCAACAGCUAAGGUCCCCAAGUUAUGGCUAAGUGGGAAAGGAUGUGAGGAUCCCAAAACAACCAGGAUGUUGGCUUAGAAGCAGC